rnacentral:lncRNA from 1 species
UGCCUUAUACAACAAAAUCACUCUGACUAUUUUAAAGAACGAGAUACCUUUUACCCUUCUAUCAUAUGAAUAUGAUUUUAGAAUCGAGCCUCCAUUUUAUUUGCCACGCAUCAACUAUUUUUCUUUUUAAAAAAUACUCCCUCCCCAACCCCCGAUCCCACCCACCUUCACCCCAUGCCCCCAAGGUAGAGAGUGAGCUAUACAAACGAAGCUUUUAUUUCCCCAUGAACAAGAAAUCCCAUUCCAUCUUCCAUCAAAUCCCAUCAUAAAAAACCCUAGCUUUCUCCUCUCUUCCUCACAGAUCCAAAACCUAAAUCCACCGCACGUCGGACGGACGG